rnacentral:lncRNA from 1 species
GCACGCGGGCGGGCUUGGGUGAGGAAUGCAAUCCUAUUGAUGUAUAUUGAGUAAUGUUGGUGAUGACCGAUUUUUCAGUUAAUUAAGUUUCGCCAUCCAUGUAUAAGACUGUUGGAUAAGAUUCGUCACCCCCUCUUAUUUCAACUCGAGCAUUCAACACAGGCCUCUCUACAUAAAUGCAUGUAAUAAUGCUAGCGAAUACUCGUCACGAGGGGGCGCACUCGAAUGGGGAGUCUCCGCACUCCAGUCCCGCAUACCGAAUGAUGCCGAAUCUCGUCACCCAAGUCCGCAAUGGUGUAACAAUACUCGCUGCAAUCUGGUUGAUUGCAAGGAGAGCUUUCAAGGAGAGAGGUCGCUGCUUUUUGUCGCUGCGUUUUUGGCCACUUUUUCAUGAUUAUUUUCGGUAAAUCUUUUCCGAAUGUGCUUGGAUUUUUCGCUAGUUACAUCAAUGAUUGGAUAGUUAUUUUAAAUUUCCAUUUGAUUGUGUUAUUUUGGAUUUAAAGAAGUUAAGCUGAAUGUGCAGGCGGUCAAGUCCAAUAAGGAGAAGGAGGAGGAUAAACUGCAAUCCCAGCGUGAAAAAGCCAAGGAAAAGGCUGCAGCGAAGAAGGAGAAACUGCAGAAGGCAGCCGCAACAAAGAAGGUCAAGCCACGCUUCAAGAAAGCGAAGAAUCCAGUAAAGAAAACGACUGAGAAGAAAGAGAAGAAGAAGACUCCAAAGAAGGCACCCAAGAAGCCAGCAGCCAAGAAAUCAACACCAAAGAAGACGCCCAAGAAGGCAAACGCAAAGAAACCCAAGACUGCCAAGUCCAAGAAGCCUGCGGCAUGUUAUUUGAAAUACAAAGAAAAUAUAAAAUACUUCGAUAUUGAGGAAGUUAAGAAACUAUUAGAAAUGUUAAAAUGAUGAUAUUAAGAUAUUAUGUUGAUCUUGUAUAUAAUUCAUGUUUAAUUUUACUUGUUUUGUAAAUAAUAUAUAUGUAUUUUGAAAUGGAACAACAAAGUCCCUCUGAAGAGGUAAAGAGAAAAAAAAAAGCCUGCAGCAAAGAAGGCUGCAAAGUCCAAGUGAUUUGCACGCCAACUUUCCCAUCCUACCAAAGCGGCCCUUUUCAGAGCCCCCACAUAUCCAAGAAAGAACGCUUGUCCAAAUGCCUUUAUAAGACACUAUGAUUAUGUGUAACAUUAACAUUUACAAAUUAUAGUUAUAAGAAAAACAAGAGCAAUUCUUUUAAAGAAUAUGGCCUUUGAUUCUUUGAAUCAUCAGUAGUUUAAAAAAAUGUUACCGGGCGCUGAUCGAUUCUGAUGAGAUAGGAAGUAGGAAGAAAGCAACAACAGAAAAGUGUUUAUUGUGGUGGUCGAUGACUUAAAGGUACUAUGUCCCAUUUGCGGGCCAGAAAUAUGAAAAGGUUAAAUUCCAACGGCAUUUGAAAGAUAAUGCUAAUUUAGAACUUCCCUGCAAGAAGGGGGCUUGAUAAUGUCUUUAAGUGGGAAAAUAACGACUAUUAUUUAUCGAAUCGACGUAAGUGCUACCAGGUCAGUUAGUAAUAGUCUGAUUUUCCGACCAUUGUACCGAAAGGUCCUACGUUUUGUGCUGCGCAACGAUUCAAUCAGUUUAAUGUGGCCUUUCAAGAAGUGGGUUAUUGAUGCAGACAAAUGCUCAUAUAUACCCUUUGCAGCUCAUGUCAUGUAUGUUAUUACCAAGGAAGAAAACAGCCAGCCAGUCACUCAUAGUGUCUGACAUAUUCAUAAUUCUUGCAAGGUUCUUGGCUGCAAAAGGGACAUAGUACCUUUAAGGUAAUUUGAAUACUUAGGAAUUGUAAUUGAUAACUUCACGUUUCUUCCAUUUUCUCUCUUUUCUUUUCUCUGCUUUUCAUUCUUUCUUCUUUCUUUCUUGUCUCCCUUGUCUCUCUUCUCUCCUCUUUUAUGUGACAUCAAUUUUCUUCUUUCAAUUAUCUUCCAUCUAUAUGUACAUGUACAUGUAUUAGCAUACAGUUAUCUUGUUUGCGUACAUAACAGUGUGUCAUAUGUUAUGUAACAGUACUAAGCACAUGUCUAUAGUCACAAAGCAAUGUUUUAAAUGAAAUGGUAUGUGCAUCAUCUUACUGCUAAUUAACUGCUCUUCUCUUCAUUUCCCCCUCUCUCUCUCCCUCUCUCUCUCUCUCUCCUUCUUCCUUUCUCUCUUUUCUCUUUCCCUCUCUUGUCUCUCCUCCUGGACAUUCGUUACGAUGUACGGUUAGUCUGUUAGCAAAAAUAUACACUUUUUAUCUGAAAUUUGUAUUAAUUGAUACAUAAUUGAUUUCCGAUCUCGUCUGUGAUUUGUUCUAUGUAUAUGUCCGUACCAGGAUAAUUAUCUUUGGAAAAUCACCCCCGGAAAACUACCCCCGAGGACAAUUACCCCC